AUUGAACGCUGGCGGCAGGCUUAACACAUGCAAGUCGAGCGGAGAUGAGGUGCUUGCACCUUAUCUUAGCGGCGGACGGGUGAGUAAUGCUUAGGAAUCUGCCUAUUAGUGGGGGACAACAUUCCGAAAGGAAUGCUAAUACCGCAUACGUCCUACGGGAGAAAGCAGGGGAUCUUCGGACCUUGCGCUAAUAGAUGAGCCUAAGUCGGAUUAGCUAGUUGGUGGGGGAAAGGCCUACCAAGGCGACGAUCUGUAGCGGGUCUGAGAGGAUGAUCCGCCACACUGGGACUGAGACACGGCCCAGACUCCUACGGGAGGCAGCAGUGGGGAAUAUUGUACAAUGGGGGGAACCCUGAUCCAGCCAUGCCGCGUGUGUGAAGAAGGCCUUAUGGUUGUAAAGCACUUUAAGCGAGGAGGAGGCUACUAAGACUAAUACUCUUGGAUAGUGGACGUUACUCGCAGAAUAAGCACCGGCUAACUCUGUGCCAGCAGCCGCCGCCGUAA
rnacentral:rRNA from 1 species